rnacentral:rRNA from 1 species
GAUCAAUAAGCGGAGGAAAAGAAACCAACCGGGAUUGCUUAGUAACGGCGAGUGAAGCGGCAAAAGCUCAAAUUGAAAUCUGGUACUUUCGGUGCCCGAGUUGUAAUUUGGAGAGGGCAACUUUGGGGCCGUUCCUGUCUAUGUUCCUUGGAACAGGACGUCAUAGAGGGUGAGAAUCCCGUGUGGCGAGGAGUGCGGUUCUUUGUAAAGUGCCUUCGAAGAGUCGAGUUGUUUGGGAAUGCAGCUCUAAGUGGGUGGUAAAUUCCAUCUAAAGCUAAAUAUUGGCGAGAGACCGAUAGCGAACAAGUACAGUGAUGGAAAGAUGAAAAGAACUUUGAAAAGAGAGUGAAAAAGUACGUGAAAUUGUUGAAAGGGAAGGGCAUUUGAUCAGACAUGGUGUUUUGUGCCCUCUGCUCCUUGUGGGUAGGGGAAUCUCGCAUUUCACUGGGCCAGCAUCAGUUUUGGUGGCAGGAUAAAUCCAUAGGAAUGUAGCUUGCCUCGGUAAGUAUUAUAGCCUGUGGGAAUACUGCCAGCUGGGACUGAGGACUGCGACGUAAGUCAAGGAUGCUGGCAUAAUGGUUAUAUGCCGCCCGUCUUGAAACACGGACCAAGGAGUCUAACGUCUAUGCGAGUGUUUGGGGUGUAAAACCCAUACGCGUAAUGAAAGUGAACGUAGGUUGGGGCCUCGCAAGAGGUGCACAAUCGACCGAUCCUGAUGUCUUCGGAUGGAUUUGAGUAAGAGCAUAGCUGUUGGGACCCGAAAGAUGGUGAACUAUGCCUGAAUAGGGUGAAGCCAGAGGAAACUCUGGUGGAGGCUCGUAGCGGUUCUGACGUGCAAAUCGAUCGUCGAAUUUGGGUAUAGGGGCGAAAGACUAAUCGAACCAUCUAGUAGCUGGU